rnacentral:rRNA from 1 species
GACGAACGCUGGCGGCGUGCUUAACACAUGCAAGUCGAACGAUGAAGCUAGAGCUUGCUCUGGUGAAUUAGUGGCGAACGGGUGAGUAACACGUGAGUAACCUGCCCCGAACUCUGGGAUAACCGCUGGAAACGGUAGCUAAUACUGGAUACGACCUACGAAGGCAUCUUCUGUAGGUGGAAAGAAUUUCGGUUCGGGAUGGACUCGCGGCCUAUCAGCCUGUUGGUGAGGUAAUGGCUCACCAAGGCGACGACGGGUAGCCGGCCUGAGAGGGUGACCGGCCAUACUGGGACUGAGACACGGCCCAGACUCCUACGGGAGGCAGCAGUGGGGAAUAUUGCACAAUGGGCGCAAGCCUGAUGCAGCGACGCCGCGUGAGGGAUGACGGCCUUCGGGUUGUAAACCUCUUUCAGUAGGGACGAAGCGCAAGUGACGGUACCUACAGAAGAAGGACCGGCCAACUACGUGCCAGCAGCCGCGGUAA